ensembl:lncRNA
GCAAAUCCUAAGCUAAAUGAUCUGUGUCUGGCCUUCCGAGGGAGAAAACGGCAUUCUGCAGUACAAGUUCUGCCAGCGAAAAUGAGAUGCAAGAUUUGAAAAGAAAUCCUCUCCCCCAUACAGAUAUAAAAGCAAGGACGUGCACACAGCCACCUCCUGAUCCAAACAUUGACUCAUCAGCACACGCCACCUGUGAAAACUCCAAGCUAUUUUCACAGGAAUAAAGAGAUGCACCAACUUGCACAUUUCACUGUUAUGUGCCGCAUUUAAUUCCGGCACAGUUGUGUGUGUCCUAAACCUACAAUUUAUCACAUAAAUGCCAGACAAACCUAAUCAUUAUGCUAACAUUUGCAGCUCCAAUUGUGCCAAACACAGAAGCGUUAAUUAAUCUAAUGUUCUUGCGGCAGACGCACACAGUCGCACAUGCAGUCACGCUGUGGGAGUGAUUUGUAAGGCACCAUGUGGGGCUCUAAUCUGCGGGUUGCAACGGGAUCUUUACAGCCUGCUCACGGGCCCGGGUGGCAAAAAUUAGGCUAAAAUUCAAUCAGACGUCCAGGCAGGGCCGGGCUUUUCCUGCAGGCCUCCAGGCGCCUUGGGACACAAGCUCCAUCUGCACUAGGGGUAAGGAGAGGUUGUGCUUGUGGCGCUGGGGAGUUAUGAGUAUUGUGGGCUGCCAUCUCUCCGCACAUUAGUGUCACGGCUAAACUAAAUAAGGACUCAAGGUUUGAGUGUUUAGCUGAGGAGUAAUUUAAUUUAUGGAACAACGUGGUGUUGUAAAUCACAAGGAUGAGAUGGUGGACUGCAUCUGGAGAAGGGUAUUUAUCUCAAGGCAAUACCACAACAUUGAGUUAAAAAGAAAUCACACCCUAAGAUUAUAUUUCCGCACACAGCAUUCGGAUCUCUGUAUUUCUGUCUUAUUUGGAAGCCGAAGUAAUGCCGGAGCCAGAGCCGAAAACAGCUCCUAUUUUUCGAGCGAGUUAACUUUCAUACGGUCAUUGUUGAGGGAUUUUUGCAGCGGCAUUGAGCGCUGAGAGCACUGUAUUACCCGAUUGCAUCAACUAAUCCGCCAACCUAUUUGCUGAGGAAUAUACAGAGCAAGACACUGGAGAAUGUAUUCGCGUCCGACUCGGUCGUCUGUGAAAUUGAUAAGCCACAAGAGAUUGACCGUUUCUUACGAAACGCGUUGAGCCACAAACAUGCAUAAAACGUUGUGGAACACAGAAGAGUAGGAGCCAUAUGCACUGUACUCAGGAUUGUGGGCGAUGUGAUAGGGUGCAUAGGUUGUCCCUUGAGGCCAAACUGACAUGAUUGGAG